rnacentral:rRNA from 1 species
GGGUCAGUAGGUUGGUCGUGCCACCGGUACGUACUGGUCUCACUGAUUCCUCCUUCCUGAGGAACCGUAAUGCCAUUAAUUUGGUGUUGCGGGGAAACAGGACUGUUACUUUGAAAAAAUUAGAGCGUUUAAAGCAAGCUAACGCUUGAAUACAUUAGCAUGGAAUAAUGAAAUAGGACGAUCGAUCCUAUUUUGUUGGUUUCUAGGAUUGACGUA